GCAAGUCGAACGUGAAGCCGAUGAUCAAUCCUUCGGGAGAGUGAUUCGGUGGAAAGUGGCGGAAGGGUGAGUAACGCGUGGGUAAGCUACCUCGAAGUUGGGGACAACCCGCCGAAAGGCGGGCUAAUACCGAAUGUGGUCUUCAGGCAUAAGCCUGGACGAUUAAAGGUGGGGAUCUUCGGACCUGCCGCUUUGAGAGGCGCCCGCGUGCCAUCAGCUUGUUGGUAGGGUAAUGGCCUACCAAGGCUUACGGCUAGCCGGCCUGAGAGGGUGAUCGGCCACACUGGGACUGAGACACUGCCCAGACUCCUACGGGAGGCUGCAGUCGAGGAUCAUUCGCACUGCGCGAAAGCGUGACGAUGCGACGCUGCGUGGAGGAUGAAGGCCUUCGGGUUGUAAACUCCUGUCAUGAGGGACAAACCGUCUCCGGGUAAACAGCCCGGAGGCCCGAUGGUACCUCAAGAGGAAGCCACGGCUAACUCUGUGCCAGCAGCCGAGGUAAUACAGAGGUGGCGAGCGUAGUUCGGAUUAACUGGGCGUAAAGGGUGCCGUAGUUGCUCUUGUGUGUCGGAUGUGAAAGCCCACGGCUCAAACCGUGGAAUNGCAUUCGAAACUGCGAGACUAGAGUGCAGGAUGGGAGAGCGGAAUUCUUGGUGUAGCGGUGAAAUGCGUUGAUAUCAAGAAGAACACCGGUGGCGAAGGCGGCUCUCUGGAAUGCUACUGACACUGAGGCACGAAAGCUGGGGGAGCAAACAGGAUUAGAUACCCUGGUAGUCCCAGCCGUAAACGGUGCACACUUGGUGUGGGGAGAUUUAACCCUCUCCGUGCCGGAGUUAACGCGUUAAGUGUGCCGCCUGGGGGGUACGGUCGCAAGGCUAAAACUCAAAGAAAUUGACGGGGGCCCGCACAAGCGGAGGAGCAUGUGGCUUAAUUCGAUGCAACGCGAAGAACCUUACCAGGGCUUGACAUGGUGCUGCACGUCCGCCGAAAGGUGGAAAGCCUUCGAGGGUGCACCACAGGUGCUGCAUGGCUGUCGUCAGUUCGUGCCGUGAGGUGUUGGGUUAAGUCCCGUAACGAACGCAACCCUUGUGGUUAGUUGCCACCGGCGGUGAUGAGCCGCCGAGCAUUCUAGCCAGACUGCCCGUACAAGCGGGAGUAAGUUGGGGAUGACGUCAAGUCAGUAUGGCCCUUACGCCUUGGGCUGCACACGUGCUACAAUGGGCGGUACAAUAGGAUGCGAUACCGCGAGGUGGAGCAAAUCCCUAAAGCCGCCCUCAGUUCGGAUUGAAGUCUGCAACCCGACUUCAUGAAGUUGGAUUCGCUAGUAACGGCGCAUCAGAUACGGCGCCGUGAUACGUUCCCGGGCAUUGUACACACCGCCCGUCACAUCAUGAAAGCCGUCUGCACCCGAAGUCGCUGAUCCAACCCGCAAGGGGGGAAGGCGCCG
rnacentral:rRNA from 1 species